UACGGGGGGAGCAAGCGUUGUUCGGAUUUACUGGGCGUAAAGGGCGCGUAGGCGGCCUCCGCAAGUCGACUGUGAAAUCUCCGGGCUUAACCCGGAAAGGUCAGCCGAAACUGCGGGGCUAGAGUGCAGAAGGGGCAACUGGAAUUCUCGGUGUAGCGGUGAAAUGCGUAGAUAUCGAGAGGAACACCUGCGGCGAAGGCGGCGUUCUGGACUGCAACUGACACUGAGGAACGAAAGCCAGGGGAGCAAACGGG
rnacentral:rRNA from 1 species